CCCGUUGAAGAAGAAGAACCAGAUGCUGGAGAAGAAGAUCGGCCCCUGGCUACCGCCGCACCGGAGCCACCAUUGAUCGCCAAAAAAGGUAAUUUUUUCCUUUCCCACUCAAAAUUCGAUUCCGAGGUUCUCUCUGGCCAUAUCCGAGUAAAAGAAAUGGUGGGUAAGCCGAAAAAUGUCGACAAAGCCCGACGGAGUCACGGCAGCCAAAAUCCUAAACCCCCUCUGAUGAGCCCAUUCUCAUUUUUUGUUUCACACGAUUCUUUGAGCAUUGUGUUUACUGUCUCUUUCUGUGCAGAUUAGCAAAAGAAGAAAUCCUAGCGAAGGAGAACCAGCGGAGCCACUGCAUUCAGAGAGUCCCCACCGGUAUGUUUAGUUUUUUAGUUUUUCUGGCCAACUGAGACUUCUUAAUGUAUUUUUUUGUAAGGAUACGUAUAAAACUAGCUAAAUCCAGCUAAAACUAGCCAGAUCGAGGCAAACUACUGCCAUGGGUGGCGAAGCCGGCAUUGGAGCAUGGCGGUGUCGCCGUGCCGGAACCCUAAAAUUGGUCAGAAAUGAUUUUCAAUGCCGAUUUUAGAUUUUGGGGUAUCUUUAGGUACAUGAUGAAUAUUUUAAUUCCCGCAGCAAAAAUUUGAGGCCCACCAAGAGGCGUAGUGAGUAGCACAAUAUUUCGAAACACCGAUCCUGAUAAGGAUCCUUCACCAUAUUUUCUGUUACGGUAAAUUGAGACUUAAUAAUUAAUAAUUUUAUAUUUUAUGAAAAUAAAAAAAAAUCAUAAUAAUAAUUACAUGUCGCUAGUGGAGUCGAAAUCAAUCAGUAUACGAUUGCUCUAAUUUACUAUCAUUUUCUCCUGUAUUGCUUAAAAUAUUUACUAUUGAAUUAUGUGCAUUAAAUUGUUAAUUUGAAUUGUGUC
rnacentral:lncRNA from 1 species